UACGUAGGUGGCAAGCGUUGUCCGGAAUUAUUGGGCGUAAAGCGCGCGCAGGCGGUCCUUUAAGUCUGAUGUGAAAGCCCACGGCUCAACCGUGGAGGGUCAUUGGAAACUGGGGGACUUGAGUACAGAAGAGGAAAGCGGAAUUCCACGUGUAGCGGUGAAAUGCGUAGAGAUGUGGAGGAACACCAGUGGCGAAGGCGGCUUUCUGGUCUGUAACUGACGCUGAGGCGCGAAAGCCAGGGGAGCAAACGGG
rnacentral:rRNA from 1 species